rnacentral:lncRNA from 1 species
AUUACCAAGUCACCCGCUAAGCAUUACUGCUGGCCUGCGCAUACGUUGAACCUCAUGGCCUGAGAUGCCGGGACUCUGUACACUUCAACUGCACCAUUUUACCAACUAAGCAUCUCUGGAACUCACUCAUCUGCCUGUUUGCUACAAUCCGGCUUUUUAUAACAGAGAGAUAGGCCAGCUGCUGGUUCCACCCCAUUUCCACCAAGAAGACUGAUGGGCACUGAAGAAGCUUCAUCUUGAGUCAAUGACAACACUAGUCACUGAGCAACCCUGCCCUUCACCUCAACUGCUACAAAGUAUUCCAGACUGUGGACAAGAGGACAGUGGAAUCGACUUUCCCUGUGUUGCUUGGGCCAACGGAUUCUUGUAAGUUCCAGUGAGCGGAAUUGGAUCCAAACAAACAGGUCUAAGAGGCGCCAGGGAGUUCUGCACAGCCUGGACUGCAAUGAAACAACCAGCUACACCAGGACUUGGCAGCACCCUAACCUUCUCAGGUCCCCCAAAGAUGGUCAACGACCCCCACAUCAGCAGGAAGCAGUCUUGAGAAUUCGAUGUCCAUCCUUAUUCCUUAACCUGCUAUGUCUAAUACCCCACCUUUUUAAAUAAUAAGUAGAGGUGGGAAUGAAAGGUUCAGGCUUUAAUGCUGAUCGGCAAUAUCUCUUUAAGAGACAGACCCUGCCCCCUGACAACAGUCAGGGCACGCACAGGGACGUGCCAUCACCAAGUCACCCACUAUGCAUUACAGCCUGUGUGAGGACUCUGGGCAUUCGUGGAACCUCAGUGAGCAUGCUCAGUCUUCCCUUUAAAAGUUCCAACAUCCCUGCUGCUCUCUCUCUCUCUCUCUCUCUCUCUCUCAUCUCUCUCUCUCUCUACUUCACUCUCUCUUCUCCCACCCACGUGCUCUCUCUGCCUCUCUAUGGCAUCUGGCCAUGGUGGUCAGUCAUUACCCCUGUUCCUCUUCUCUCUUAGUCUCCCUACUCUGCCGGGCCCAUAUAACAUACUAGUCAAUAUGUCUCAUCUUGCGUCCUCCUCUUUUUCUUCAAAAACAUAACACUGGGAAUGUAUGCAUGCGCCACCAUGCCCAGAGUUCUUCUAAUAGUUGCUACCUACACUGGUCCUGGUGGGCCCUAGUACCCAACACCUACAGACUCCUAUUUAAGUAUAACUAAGUAACCGUUGGCUAAUGUUUCCUAAAUAAUUUUAUUUAAAAAAAACGGCAUGCUAAAAUAUGAAUCUAAAAAAUUAACUAUAUUUAUCAAAGGAAUGC